UGUGGUUAUUUAUUAAAGAUACAUUAAUAAUUCUUGUAAUUGAUGCAGGUUUUCUUUUUUCUACAGACUACUAUUAUUUUAUUCUUGUCUCUCUGGAAAAUGAAAAAUCCAUUAGUUUUUCUCUUUUGCUUUUACCCAGAAAUUAAAGGUUGGUAAGUGGUAAUUAGCGUAGCUCCUGUCAAAGCCAGUUGCCUCAUGAGGACCGACAUUUGACUUAAGCUGAAAUAAUGGAAUAUGGCUAAUGUAAAGUUCAUUAGUCCCAGCUGCUUUCUUUGACAUUCUUUUCUUCUACCACAAGAACGGGCAUGCCCUGCCCUCUCUCACUCCUAUUUUUAGACGUAUUGCUGCGCUCCUAUGUGUCUAUUCUACAAGGCUGGAGGCACAGUGAUUACCAAACCUGCAGAAGCCGUCUGUGUGGAGACAGGAGGAGGACAAACCAGGCUUGCUCUGCUUCACACCCAGAGACCUGGAGCCACAGCAUGUGGAAAUUGCUUUCAUGACCUUUUAUACCCCCUGCUGAUAAAGCAAUUAGAAAACUGAAGAGUUUCACGGUGGUGAGAUAGAAUUUCACAAUACUGAGUGAGAUAUUAGCAAUGGACUCUCCGUAUGUCCCUAUGGUCUACAAGCUUAAUAUGUAUCUUUAAACAAACACAUAAAAAAAUUCAUUAACUGGAGAAACAAGAUUGUGGCCAUAGUCAACACUCUAUAAUGUCACCAUCUUCACCACUAUCUCUGCUUAAAAUUCUGCCGUACUAUCUUCAGAAUAAGGAUAAUGAAUUGGAAAUACGACCAUUUCUUUUCAUUGCCCUUGAUGGUUACCUUUUUAAAAAAAAAAAAAAAAAAGUAGGGUCUUACUCUAUCAUCCAGGCUGGAGUAUGGUGGCAUGAUCAGCCUUGAGCUCCUGGGCUCAAGUGAUACUCUCGCCUUAGCCUCCAGAGUAGCUAGGAUUAUAGGUCAGUGCCACCAUGCCUGGCUAACUUAAAUUUUUUUUUUGUAGAGACAGGGUCUUGCUAUGUUGCCUAAGCUGACAAUUACUUUAUUUAAAAGCUUUUUUUUCUGGCCAGGGGUGGUGGCUCACACCUGUAAUCCCAGCACUUUGGGAGGCUGAGGUGGGUGGAUCACCUGAGGUCAG
rnacentral:lncRNA from 1 species